CUUUACUGUAACUUGAAAUUGAAAUUGGACUUUACUUGCGCAGUAUAGGUGGGAGGCAUUGAGUUUAUUCUUACGGGAAUUUAGGAGCCAUCAGUGAGAUACCACUCUGGUAAUGUUAGAUUUCUAACUUUGGAUCAUUAUCUGGUCAAAGAACAGUUUCAGGCGGGCAGUUUGACUGGGGCGGUCGCCUCCCAAAUGGUAACGGAGGCGUACAAAGGUUUCCUCUGAACGUGUAGAAAUCGUAUCUAGAGUGUAAAGGCAUAAGGAAGCUUGACUGUGAGACCUACAAGUCGAGCAGGGACGAAAGUCGGUCUUAGUGAUCUGACGGUGCUGAGUGGAAAGGCCGUCGCUCAACGGAUAAAAGUUA
rnacentral:rRNA from 1 species